AAGGAUCAUUAUUGAAGUCUCUGAGAGGUUUCGUUGCUGACUCUCCGGAGUAUGUGCACGCCUCUCACACUUUAUUCAACCACCUGUGCACCUCUCGUAGCUUCUCAGAUGCUUUCAGUCUUCGGACUGGUGGGGACUGCUGCAGUGACUCUGCUCACAGCUUCAGUCCGAUAUCUGAGGGGUUGCGCUCUACACAAACUCUGUCAAUGUUUAAGAAUGUAUCACGGUCUUUUGGACCUUAAAACUAUAAUACAACUUUCAACAACGGAUCUCUUGGCUCUCGCAUCGAUGAAGAACGCAGCGAAAUGCGAUAAGUAAUGUGAAUUGCAGAUUUCAGUGAAUCAUCGAAUCUUUGAACGCACCUUGCGCUCCUUGGUAUUCCGAGGAGCAUGCCUGUUUGAGAGUCAUUAAAUUCUCAACUCCCUAGCGGUUGUCAUGACCGCUGGUAGAGCUUGGAUGUGAGGGUUUUGCCGGCUCCUUGCAGAGUCUGGCUCCCUUGAAAAAUAUUAGCGCAGCUUUGCACUGUCUGCUACAGGUGUGAUAAUCUAUCUACUCCUGAUUAGUGACGCGCAUGAAUAGAGCUAUGUGCUUCUAAUCGUCUCCGGACAAUUUUUUGAACUUGACCUCAAAUCAGGUAGGACUACCCGCUGAACUUAAGCAUAUCAAUAAGCGGAGGAAAAGAAACUAACAAGGAUUCCCCUAGUAACUGCGAGUGAAGCGGGAAAAGCUCAAAUUUAAAAUCUGGUAGUUCUUGUAGCUGCCCGAGUUGUAAUUUAGAGAAGCGUUAUCCGUGCUGGACCGUGUACAAGUCUCCUGGAACGGAGCGUCAUAGAGGGUGAGAAUCCCGUACAUGACACGGACCGCCAGUGCAUUGUGAUGCGCUCUCAAAGAGUCGAGUUGUUUGGGAAUGCAGCUCAAAAUGGGUGGUAAAUUCCAUCUAAAGCUAAAUAUAGGCGAGAGACCGAUAGCGAACAAGUACCGUGAGGGAAAGAUGAAAAGAACUUUGGAAAGAGAGUUAAACAGUACGUGAAAUUGUUGAAAGGGAAACGCUUGAAGUCAGUCGCGUCGUUCAGGGAUCAGCCUUGCUCUGGCUUGGUGUACUUCCUGUUCGAUGGGUCAGCAUCAGUUUCGGCCGCCGGAAAAAGUGCGCAGGAAUGUGACAUCUUCGGAUGUGUUAUAGCCUGUGUUCGUAUACGGCGGCUGGGACUGAGGACUCAGCACUAGAUGCUUGGGAUGCUGGCAAAAUGGCUUUAAGCGACC
rnacentral:rRNA from 1 species